GACGAACGCUGGCGGCGUGCCUAAUACAUGCAAGUCGAGCGGACGGUUCCUUCGGGAACGGUUAGCGGCGGACGGGUGAGUAACACGUAGGCAACCUGCCUGCAAGAUCGGGAUAACGAUCGGAAACGAUUGCUAAGACCGGAUAGCUGGACUGAACGCCUGUUCGGUUCAAGAAACACGGAGCAAUCUGUGGCUUGCAGAUGGGCCUGCGGCGCGUUAGCUAGUUGGUGAGGUAACGGCUCACCAAGGCGACGAUGCGUAGCCGACCUGAGAGGGUGAUCGGCCACACUGGGACUGAGACACGGCCCAGACUCCUACGGGAGGCAGCAGUAGGGAAUCUUCCGCAAUGGACGCAAGUCUGACGGAGCAACGCCGCGUGAGUGAUGAAGGUUUUCGGAUCGUAAAGCUCUGUUGCCAGGGAAGAACGCUCGGGAGAGUAACUGCUCUCGAGGUGACGGUACCUGAGAAGAAAGCCCCGGCUAACUACGUGCCAGCAGCCGCGGUAACAC
rnacentral:rRNA from 1 species